rnacentral:rRNA from 1 species
AUUGAACGCUGGCGGCAGGCCUAACACAUGCAAGUCGAACGAGUGGCGGACGGGUGAGUAAUUUCUGGGAAACUGCCUGAUGGAGGGGGAUAACUACUGGAAACGGUAGCUAAUACCGCAUACCAUCAGAUGUGCCCAGCUGGGAGUAGCUAGUUGGUGGGGUAACGGCUCACCAAGGCGACGAUCCCUAGCUGGUCUGAGAGGAUGACCAGCCAAACUGGAACUGUGACACGGUGCAGACUCCUACGGGAGGCAGCGGUGGUGAAUAUUGCACAAGGGGCGCAAGCCUGAUGCAGCCAUGCCGCGUGUAUGAAGAAGGCCUUCGGGUUGUAAAGUACGUUCAGCGGGGAGGCGUUACCCGCAGAAGAAGCACCGGCUAACUCCGUGCCAGCAGCCGCGGUAAUUC